rnacentral:rRNA from 1 species
UACGUAGGGGGCUAGCGUUGUCCGGAAUCAUUGGGCGUAAAGAGCGUGUAGGCGGUUCGGUAAGUCCGCUGUGAAAGUCCAGGGCUCAACCCUGGAAUGCCAGUGGAAACUGCCGAGCUCGAGUCCGGAAGAGGCGAGUGGAAUUCCUGGUGUAGCGGUGAAAUGCGCAGAUAUCAGGAGGAACACCAAUGGCGAAGGCAGCUCGCUGGGACGGUACUGACACUGAGACGCGAAAGCGUGGGGAGCAAACAGG